UGUCUGGAAGAAAGCUGAUUUUGUAUACUUCAUGCAGGGGCUGGGGCUGAACUCACUCUGCUGGGACCCUGCCUGCUCUGCUGUGCCCCUUGGGGCACAGCCCCCAGGGCAUACAGAAGGGUCUGCACUGCAGGAGCAUGUGAGGGAGACCAGGCUGCCUGUGGGCCCCUCAUCCUCUAACGAAGGACAAUUUAUGACCCAGCUGCAGUGAUGGGAAUUCAAGACCACUCAACAUGUUCACAUUCAAAAAAUCGAGAUUGGGUUUCUAUGUUACCCAGGCUGGUCUCAAACUCCUGGGCUCAAGCAGUCCUCCCACCAGAGCCUCCCAAAGUACUGGGAUCACAGGCAUGAGCCCCGCCCUCAAUUGCAGAUACUAACACAGAGGAGGGACAUAGCGUCUGUCAGUUGGGGAGUCAAAGCAGUUCCCCACGGAGACAAAGUCCCUGGGAAUCCAGCCAGUAGGUGAGGAGGGAGCAUGGGAAAAAGGCUGACAGCACCACUUUUGUGUCUAGAAUGUAUCCCUGGAAGAGGGAAAAAGGAUCUUUCAGCCCCAGGACCCUGCAGCUCCUGAAAGCUCUCGCCUCCUCGCCUGGCAGGGUCUGCACGCUGGAGGGAAGCAGCCCUCUUUGGAAUCCAAGUCUCCACCCAUGGCCUGGGAGGAUGGAAAUGAGCCCAAAGAUGUGCUGCAGAGCCAGAGACGUUGGGAGAGGCAGCAUGGAGACCACCGGAGCCAGGUGGGGGAUGGCAACUGAGCUGGAGGCAGUGCAGGCAUCAUUCAGGUGAAUGAGGUGGGUUCUGGGAGCCUUGGCACUGGCUGGGCAUGCAGGGUCCUGCGCAUGUCUCCCCAUGGGGUCCCUUCUGCUCUGGUGGUCCUCAGAUUCCACCACCAGAAGGUUCUUCUUGCUCAGAAGUACUGGGUGCAGGAGGAGAGCAGUGCUCAGUGAUGCCAGGUCAGCAAUGGGGAGGAUGGACAAGGCUGUGGCUGGGGUCUCCUGCUGGGUGUCGGCCCUCUGUGUUCUCUGUGUGUUCUCAGCCUUGGUGGCCAGGAGCAGAGGUGGUUUGGGGAAGGGACAAGGACAGACCCUAAUCUGUCCACCUGGAGAAGGGACUCCCAGCACAUCACUGAAAAGUGCUCUGGGGGCCUGGCGCAGUGGCUCAUGCCUGUAAUCCCAGCACUUUGGGAGGCCGAUGUGGGCAGA